rnacentral:rRNA from 1 species
AUGAACGCUGGCGGCGUGCCUAAUACAUGCAAGUCGAGCGAACGGACGAGAAGCUUGCUUCUCUGAUGUUAGCGGCGGACGGGUGAGUAACACGUGGAUAACCUACCUAUAAGACUGGGAUAACUUCGGGAAACCGGAGCUAAUACCGGAUGAUAUUUUGAACCGCAUGGUUCAAAAGUGAAAGACGGUCUUGCUGUCACUUAUAGAUGGACCCGCGCUGCAUUAGCUAGUUGGUAAGGUAACGGCUUACCAAGGCAACGAUGCAUAGCCGACCUGAGAGGGUGAUCGGCCACACUGGAACUGAGACACGGUCCAGACUCCUACGGGAGGCAGCAGUAGGGAAUCUUCCGCAAUGAGCGAAAGCCUGACGGAGCAACGCCGCGUGAGUGAUGAAGGUCUUCGGAUCGUAAAACUCUGUUAUUAGGGAAGAACAUAUGUGUAAGUAACUGUGCACAUCUUGACGGUACCUAAUCAGAAAGCCACGGCUAACUACGUG